AAACCGGAAGUUGAUAUGGUUGCCUGGGAGACUUGACGUCGGGCUUCGACUUCGGUCAGCAUCACGCAUAGGUGACCCCACAGAGGCUUGCGGGCUGGCGCCCCGUGGUGGAGCCAGCUGAAGCUACAGCCUGGGACCUGGACGAAUCACGAGGUAAUAUGUGGCCGACCAGUUAUCAGAAAUACGGGCCAUAUCAAGAUCAUUAGAACUCUACAGUGAAGGCUAAGAGCAAGCUACUUUCCAGGUUACACAAAAUUGAGUGGAGUUGCAUCCUCUGAAACCACAGGGACCAUGGUUUUAUGGACCUCUCUGUGCUUCUUACUAUGGAUCCAUGGGAUGAAACAAAGGACAGCACCUCCGACAAGGGGAGGAAUUCCAGAGAGGUAGAAUGCCACAUUGUAGGAGUCCAGCUUGUCACGAAGUAACCCUGGGAAGGGAAAAAACUAUCACCAGGAGAGUGUCAUACUGAUGGCCUAGCCCUAAC